UCCGAAAUAGGCCAAGUAAACGGGAAAGGGAAUCUAGGUCGAUUGUCGAUGAAGGCGACUUUGUAUGUGCGAGUGACCUGAUUGCUAUACGGGGGCUCGCAAUGAGGUCAUACCUCGACAGAAAAGGGGGACGGCGGUCUGGUUAUACUUUAUGACCUGAAGGCCACU
ensembl:ncRNA C06A6.12 ncRNA